rnacentral:rRNA from 1 species
CUCAUAGCGUAUAUUAAUGUUGUUGCAGUUAAAAAGCUCGUAGUUGGAUUCCUGACCUGGGGUAGCCGGUCCGCCUUGCAAAAGGUGCGCACUGAGCGGCCUCGGUCAUCCUUGAGAAGAGCGGUCCUGGCAUUUAGUUGUCGGGGUCGGGAUUCUCGACGUUUACUGUGAAAAAAUCAGAGUGUUCAACGCAGGCUUACGCCUUGAAUACAUUAGCAUGGAAUAAUGAGAUAGGACCUUGGCGGUCUAUUUUGUUGGUUUGCACGCCGAGGUAAUGAUUAAAAGGGACGGUUGGGGUUCUUCGUAUUCAAUUGUCAGAGGUGAAAUUCUUGGAUUUAUGGAAGACGAACUGCUGCGAAAGCGUCGAACAAGGACGUUCUCAUUAAUCAAGAACGAAAGUUAGGGGAUCGAAGAUGAUUAGAUACCAUCGUAGUCUUAACCAUAAACUAUGCCGAUUCAGGAUUGGCGGUCGUUUGUUCUCGACUCCGUCAGCACUGUAUGAGAAAUCAAAAUCUUUGGGUUCCGGGGGGAGUAUGGUCGCAAGGCUGAAACUUAAAGAAAUUGACGGAAGGGCACCACCAGGAGUGGAGCCUGCGGCUUAAUUUGACUCAACACGGGGAAACUUACCAGGUCCAGACAUAGUAAGGAU